rnacentral:rRNA from 1 species
AACGAACGCUGGCGGCAGGCCUAACGCAUGCAAGUCGAGCGGACCCUUCGGGGUUAGCGGCGGACGGGUGAGUAACGCGUGGGAAUAUGCCCUUCUCUACGGAAUAGUCCUGGGAAACUGGGGGUAAUACCGUAUACGCCCUUUGGGGGAAAGAUUUAUCGGGGAAGGAUUAGCCCGCGUUGGAUUAGGUAGUUGGUGGGGUAAUGGCCUACCAAGCCGACGAUCCAUAGCUGGUUUGAGAGGAUGAUCAGCCACACUGGGACUGAGACACGGCCCAGACUCCUACGGGAGGCAGCAGUGGGGAAUCUUAGACAAUGGGGGCAACCCUGAUCUAGCCAUGCCGCGUGAGUGAUGAAGGCCUUAGGGUUGUAAAGCUCUUUCAGCUGGGAAGAUAAUGACGGUACCAGCAGAAGAAGCCCCGGCUAACUCCGUG